UUGGCAAGUGACAGGUGCUGUGACCAUGGGUGUAGGCAUACCAUUACCCUUGUCCGUGUGACAUCUUUCUACCAAAUCAUUCACGUACUUGCAUUGACUUAAAAACAGUCUACCACCAGCAGUGUAUGUGAUCCCUAUAACUAAAAAUAGUGCAGUUGACCCUGUAUGUCAAUUUGAGAAAUCAUCUACAUAGAUCAAGACAGACAUACGUCAUCAACAAUCUUGAAAAAAAAAAGUGAAGCAUCAGACUUGGUCGAUUUAAAGUCGAUAGAAAGCAAGAAAUCUGUAACAAGAGAGUGAAAAAUAAGUGGAAGAAUUAAUCCAGGGCAUUCAUUGUAUUUGAUGAAAUAAGAGGGACCAAUAUGCAAUAUGAUCCUAUAGAAACCUGUGAAUGAAGCAAAGUUGUAAUGUCUACAUAACAGGUUCCCAAUGGAAAAGAGAGAAUAAAGAGUGGGAAUAUAGAUAUCCUUCCAGAAAUUAUUUAGUACUUACUUGCCAAAGACAACAAUCCCCAUAGAUCUUCCAACCCUUUUCCCUUUAGCCCCCCAAAAAUAGAAGAAAUGAUUAGUCAAAAUUCAUGGGAACAUUAAGAUAAAAUUUCCCCUUUAUUUAAUUUUAUCUUUUGCUUUUGUAAAUGGAAAGGACUUGAA
rnacentral:lncRNA from 1 species